UGUCAGGUGACUUAUUAUCAGGAAGUUAAGGAAGAGCAUGGCUCAGAGCCGCUGUUUUCAGUAGUUUUCCAAUCCAGUUGAGUCUGUCUGCAUCUUAUGCCUUUUGACAGCAUCGUUGUUUUACUCUUUCUUACGUCAAUAAACCUGUGGACAACGGACAACUGUCUUAAGAGUCAUGAUGUCAAGAAGGAGUUUGUCUAACUGCCGAGGUGUAUCACAGCACAUACACUGAGGGCAGCAUAGUAAAACAACGGCUUUCUAGCGGGCAAGAUAACGCAGCCAGCUGACAGACGCUACCAACAACGUCAUCACACGCAGCCAGUGGAUGACCAUCACAGCGGUGUCUAAACAGAGACAUGUCUCCCAGGACAGAAAAAACAGCUUGGAAGCCAAACAGACAGCGAGAAGUCUCGGUUCACAAAACGGAGAUAUUUCCAAAAGCCAUCUCUGAUCCUAGGGAGCCCUCAACGAAAUUCGUCGACUGUAACAAACUGUGUCCAAUCCAUAAAAAACCUCAUCCUCUACGCAAAUGCCGUGCAUUCAGAGAAAAG